rnacentral:rRNA from 1 species
UAGGUAACACGUAAAGAUGCAUGUCGAACGGUAACAGAAAGCAGCUUGCUGCUUUGCUGACGAGUGGCGGACGGGUGAGUAAUGUCUGGGAAACUGCCCGAUGGAGGGGGAUAACUACUGGAAACGGUAGCUAAUACCGCAUAACGUCGCAAGACCAAAGAGGGGGACCUUCGGGCCUCUUGCCAUCGGAUGUGCCCAGAUGGGAUUAGCUAGUAGGUGGGGUAAAGGCUCACCUAGGCGACGAUCCCUAGCUGGUCUGAGAGGAUGACCAGCCACACUGGAACUGAGACACGGUCCAGACUCCUACGGGAGGCAGCAGUGGGGAAUAUUGCACAAUGGGCGCAAGCCUGAUGCAGCCAUGCCGCGUGUAUGAAGAAGGCCUUCGGGUUGUAAAGUACUUUCAGCGGGGAGGAAGGGAGUAAAGUUAWWACCUUUGCUCAUUGACGUUACCCGCAGAAGAAGCACCGGCUAACUCCGUGCCAGCAGCCGCGGUAAUACGGAGGGUGCAAGCGUUAAUCGGAAUUACUGGGCGUAAAGCGCACGCAGGCGGUUUGUUAAGUCAGAUGUGAAAUCCCCGGGCUCAACCUGGGAACUGCAUCUGAUACUGGCAAGCUUGAGUCUCGUAGAGGGGGGUAGAAUUCCAGGUGUAGCGGUGAAAUGCGUAGAGAUCUGGAGGAAUACCGGUGGCGAAGGCGGCCCCCUGGACGAAGACUGACGCUCAGGUGCGAAAGCGUGGGGAGCAAACAGGAUUAGAUACCCUGGUAGUCCACGCCGUAAACGAUGUCGACUUGGAGGUUGUGCCCUUGAGGCGUGGCUUCCGGAGCUAACGCGUUAAGUCGACCGCCUGGGGAGUACGGCCGCAAGGUUAAAACUCAAAUGAAUUGACGGGGGCCCGCACAAGCGGUGGAGCAUGUGGUUUAAUUCGAUGCAACGCGAAGAACCUUACCUGGUCUUGACAUCCACGGAAGUUUUCAGAGAUGAGAAUGUGCCUUCGGGAACCGUGAGACAGGUGCUGCAUGGCUGUCGUCAGCUCGUGUUGUGAAAUGUUGGGGUUAAGUCCCGCAACGAGCGCAACCCUUAUCYUUKKKUGCCAGCGGUCSGGCCGGGAMYYMAARGRRRMYKSCMRKKRWWAAMYKGGAGGAAGGUGGGGGAUGACGUCAAGUCAUCAUUGGCCCUUACGAMCMRRGSYACACACGUGCUACAAUGGCGCAUACAAAGAGAAGCGACCUCGCGAGAGCAAGCGGACCUCAUAAAGUGCGUCGUAGUCCGGAUUGGAGUCUGCAACUCGACUCCAUGAAGUCGGAAUCGCUAGUAAUCGUGGAUCAGAAUGCCACGGUGAAUACGUUCCCGGGCCUUGUACACACCGCCCGUCACACCAUGGGAGUGGGUUGCAAAAGAAGUAGGUAGCUUAACCUUCGUGACGGCGUAUCACCAUAGAUGUU